UGGGGAAUAUUGCACAAUGGGCGCAAGCCUGAUGCAGCCAUGCCGCGUGUGUGAAGAAGGCCUUCGGGUUGUAAAGCACUUUCAGCGGGGAGGAAGGCGAUAAGGUUAAUACCCUUGUCGAUUGACGUUACCCGCAGAAGAAGCACCGGCUAACUCCGUGCCAGCAGCCGCGGUAAUACGGAGGGUGCAAGCGUUAAUCGGAAUUACUGGGCGUAAAGCGCACGCAGGCGGUGUGUCAAGUCGGAUGUGAAAUCCCCGGGCGCAACCUGGGAACUGCAUUCGAGACUGGCAGGCUAGAGUCUUGUAGAGGGGGGUAGAAUUCCAGGUGUAGCGGUGAAAUGCGUAGAGAUCUGGAGGAAUACCGGUGGCGAAGGCGGCCCCCUGGACGAAGACUGACGCUCAGGUGCGAAAGCGUGGGGAGCAAACAGG
rnacentral:rRNA from 1 species